AUGCGGCGGUGUCGGGGCGCGGGGCUGGCGGCGCUGGCCGCGCUGCUGCUCGUCGCCGUGGCCAGAGCACAAGUACAACAGGAGCCGUUCCUGGAGACCACCGAGGGCACUGGAAUCAAUAUCAGCUGCUCACACUCCAACAUAGGAACAGGCGAUACGAUCUUCUGGUACCGUCAGCUCCCGGGCCGAGGACCCGAAUUCCUCGUGAGCGCUCACAAUGGGGUCAGAGAGCUGCCGGCCAUUGCAGCAAAGCUGUCGGUGUCGGCAGAUCGGCGUUGGAGCGCGCUGUGGCUCGGGCGGCCCCGGCGCGGGGACGCGGCCGUGUAUUACUGCGCGCUGGGCCACGGGCAGAGGAGCCGGGGCUGCGGCCGGCUCCAGCUCCGAGUCCCCGCGCGCGCUCGGCCCCUCUGCUCAGCGCGGCUGCGGCAGCUCCGCUCCUGGCGGCAGCGAACAGCCCCGCCCGGCCACGGCUCCGUGCGCGCUGACACGGUCUGCCUGCGGCACCGACGGCAGCACGGCCCUUCCCAAACUAUCUCUUGCUCCUUCAGGUAG